AACGAACGCUGGCGGCAUGCCUAAUACAUGCAAGUCGAACGAUCACUUCGGUGGUAGUGGCGCACGGGUGCGUAACGCGUGGGAAUCUGCCCUUGGGUUCGGAAUAACAUCGGGAAACUGAUGCUAAUACCGGAUGAUAUCGCGAGAUCAAAGAUUUAUCGCCCAGGGAUGAGCCCGCGUGAGAUUAGCUAGUUGGUGGGGUAAAGGCCUACCAAGGCGACGAUCUCUAGCUGGUCUGAGAGGAUGAUCAGCCACACUGGGACUGAGACACGGCCCAGACUCCUACGGGAGGCAGCAGUAGGGAAUAUUGGACAAUGGGGGCAACCCUGAUCCAGCAAUGCCGCGUGAGUGAUGAAGGCCUUAGGGUUGUAAAGCUCUUUUACCAGAGAUGAUAAUGACAGUAUCUGGGGAAUAAGCCCCGGCUAACUCCGUGCCAGCCGCCGCGGUAAGAC
rnacentral:rRNA from 1 species